UACAGAGGGUGCAAGCGUUAAUCGGAUUUACUGGGCGUAAAGCGUGUGUAGGUGGUCAAGAAAGUCGGUUGUGAAAUCCCUGGGCUCAACCCGGGAACUGCUUCCGAUACUUCAUGACUCGAAUUCGGUAGAGGGAGGCGGAACUCCAGGUGUAGCGGUGAAAUGCGUAGAUAUCUGGAAGAACACCAAUGGCGAAGGCAACCUCCUGGGCCUGAAUUGACACUGAGACACGAAAGCGUGGGGAUCAAACAGG
rnacentral:rRNA from 1 species